GUCUGGUGCCAGCAGCCGCGGUAAUUCCAGCUCCAAUAGCGUACGUUAAAGUUGCUGCAGUUAAAAAGCUCGUAGUUGAACGUUCGGGUUCCGCGGGACGGGGCCGCCCCGCGAGGGACGGCGCCGCCCCGGGGCUCGUGAUAUCUUAUCUCGCCGCCCGUCGCGAGGCGGACGGAGGGAUGGAUGAGGUUACCUGGAAAAAAUCGGGGCGAUCUAGGCGGGCGAACCUCGCCAACGAACGAUCGGACAUGGGAUAACGGAAGAGGGCGUCGGCUCGACUUCGUCGGUUCCUCGGGCCGAGGCACGUACGGUGAAUAGGGACGGUCGGGGCCGCCCGUACCGGGUCGUGAGAGGUGAAAUUCUAGGAUCGACCCGAGACGAACUGCCGCGAAAGCAUUCGGCAAGGACGCUUUCAUUAAUCAAGAACGAAAGUCGGGGAUCGAAGACGAUCAGAUACCGUCGUACGU
rnacentral:rRNA from 1 species